rnacentral:misc_RNA from 1 species
GAUGAAGAACGUAGCGAAAUGCGAUAAGUAAUGUGAAUUGCAGAAUUCAGUGAAUCAUCGAAUCUUUGAACGCACAUUGCGCCCGCCAGUAUUCUGGCGGGCAUGCCUGUUCGAGCGUCAUUUCAACCAUCAAGCCCCCGGCUUGUGUUGGGGACCUGCGGCUGCCGCAGGCCCUGAAAACCAGUGGCGGGCUCGCUAGUCACUCCGAGCGUAGUAAUACAUCUCGCUCAGGGCGUGCUGCGGGUUCCGGCCGUUAAAAAGCCUUAUUUACCCAAGGUUGACCUCGGAUCAGGUAGGAAGACCCGCUGAACUUAAGCAUAUCAAUAAGCGGAGAA